rnacentral:misc_RNA from 1 species
AAGUCGUAACAAGGUUUCCGUGCCUCAAGUACGGGACUGCUGUUAAUUCAGCAGAUCCUUCCGCGUAUAACACUUGCCGAAGCCUUAGCAGCCUGAAAGGGUGCAACUCCAACGACUGUAAAUAAGAGAGUUGCCUAAAUGCUAGUCUGCGCUCAUUGCAGGCGACACUAUCAAAUUGCGGGAACACCCUAAAGACCUCAACACCAAACGAUGUGGGAAACCUCAUCGUGGCCGAGCUAAUAGCCCUGGGUAUGGUAACAGCUUGAGGUAUGAUGCACCCGUAAGGGAGUUGAAAUGGGCAAUCCGCAGCCAAGUCCUAACGUACUCUGUUAAGUCAGGGACCAUGGAUGCUGUUCACAGGCCAAAUGGUAGUGGGUGAUUCCGUUCAGGAAUUGCUUAAGAUAUGGUCGGGCCCCUUCAGAAAUGUUGGGGAUAAGUUUACGCUUAGAAAGAGUACGUUUGCCUCUUGAACAGAACCGUUCCGUAGGUGAACCUGCGGAAGGAUCAUUACCGAGUAUGGGUACCCUUUGGGUACCUACUCCCACCCUUUGUGAACCUUUUUCGUUGCCUCGGCGGAUCGGUGGUUUCCACCCUUCGGCUUCUAGCUGAAGAGAGUCCGCCAGAGGAUUUUCAAACCCGUCUUAACAUGAAAUCUGAGUUAAACAAUAAAACAAA